GUGAGGAAUAUUGGUCAAUGGGUGCAAGCCUGAACCAGCCAUCCCGCGUGAAGGACGACUGCCCUAUGGGUUGUAAGCUUCUUUUGUAUAGGGAUAAACCUACCCUCGUGAGGGUAGCUGAAGGUACUAUACGAAUAAGCACCGGCUAACUCCGUGCCAGCAGCCGCGGUAAUACGGAGGGUGCAAGCGUUAUCCGGAUUUAUUGGGUUUAAAGGGUCCGUAGGCGGACUUAUAAGUCAGUGGUGAAAGCCUGUCGCUUAACGAUAGAACUGCCAUUGAUACUGUAAGUCUUGAGUAUAUUUGAGGUAGCUGGAAUAAGUAGUGUAGCGGUGAAAUGCAUAGAUAUUACUUAGAACACCAAUUGCGAAGGCAGGUUACCAAGAUAUAACUGACGCUGAGGGACGAAAGCGUGGGGAGCGAACA
rnacentral:rRNA from 1 species